GACGAACGCUGGCGGCGUGCUUAAUACAUGCAAGUCGAACGGAAAGGCCCUGCUCUUGUUGCUUUCUUGUUUGCCGAACGGGUGAGUAACACGCGUGUAACCCCCCCUUGACUUUGUGAUAUCUUUAGGAAACUCGGGCUCUUAUCGCAUAUGAUCUUCUGCUGCAUGUUGUUGGUUGGAAAGUUUCGGCGGUUCGGGAUGGUCUGGCUGCUUACGAGCUUGUUUGUCGGGUAGUUACUUACCAAGGUUUAGACGGGUAGCCUGCCUGAGAGGGUGAACGGGGACAAUGGGACUGAGAGACGGAGCAGAAGCGUACGGGAGGCAGCAGGGGGGAAUAUUGCACAGUGGGGGGAAGCCUGAGAUAGCAACGUCGGGUGCGGGAUGAUGGGCUUCGGGUUGAAAACAGAUUUGGAAGGAGACGAAGAGUGAGUGACGGUAAUGGGUAAGGAAGCACCGGCUAACUACGUG
rnacentral:rRNA from 1 species